GAUGAAGAACGUAGCAAAAUGCGAUAAGUAGUGUGAAUUGCAGAAUUCAGUGAAUCAUCGAAUCUUUGAACGCACAUUGCGCCCCUUGGUAUUCCGAGGGGCAUGCCUGUUCGAGCGUCAUUAUAACCCCUCAAGCUCAGCUUGGUGUUGGGGCCUGCUGCACUGGCAGCCCUUAAAAUCAGUGGCGGCGCCAUCUGGCUCUAAGCGUAGUAAUUCUUCUCGCUAUGGAGUCCUGGUGGAUGCUUGCCAUCAACCCCCAAUUUUUCUAUGGUUGACCUCGGAUCAGGUAGGGAUACCCGCUGAACUUAAGCAUAUCAAUAAGCGGAGGA
rnacentral:misc_RNA from 1 species